GCCGCGCGGAUGCCAGGUCGACACGAGAGCAACGGCGGGAGCGGAGGACCCAGCACGACGGGGCCGGCCACGGAAACUGCUUCCCGGCCGUCCCCUUGGGGUGAAGCCGCGCUGUGCGGCCGGGCAUCUUCGCCUGCCCGAACCCGACAGGUCAUCCUUCGCAGGCAGAUGACGAAGGGUCG
rnacentral:sRNA from 2 species